rnacentral:rRNA from 1 species
AUUGUCACAAACAGCACCUGUGAUAUAUGCGGCAAUGCGGAGGAAGACGAGUAUCAUGCUGUGGUAUCGUGCACAAAAAGCAGAGCUCUAAGACAAGCAAUGAGAAAUCAUUGGAGGCUCCCGAAAGGAAAUGCGUUCUGGUACACAGGAGAGGAUUGGCUCCAAAACCUCCUGAAUACAUGCGAUGCUGACACCCGGAACAAAAUCCUAAUCAUGCUAUGGCGAGCAUGGUUUCUCAGGGAUAAUAUAAUCCAUAGUGAUGGAAAGGAGGCGAUCUCGAGAUCAGUGGCUUUCCUGCUUAAGUAUGAAGAAGAAGUCAGGUCAGUACAGGAGAAAUCAGAGGCCGAAAGGGGCAUGUUCUGCAUGGAUUUGUUUGAACAGCACUGCCCAGAUCCUCUCAAGCCUGUAGGGAAGCAAUGGCGCCCUCCAGGCGAGGGCGUGAUCAAAUUAAAUACUGACGCUUCUGUUGACCCUGCAUCGGGUGUGAGUGCGUGCGGUGCAGUUGCUAGAAACGAGCAAGGAGCCCCGGUCUUCUCGAUGGGAUGCAAACUGGGCAAAUGUACGACAGUGGAAGAAGCAGAGGGCCUUGCGCUGCUGAGCGGGCUGCAGACUCUGGCAAGAUACUACUCACUCUGUUCCUAA